AAUUUUAAAUUCGAAACGGUUGUCAAGGGACAUGCUUGAGAAAUUUAAAAGGUACAAUCCAUUGCAACAUCGUGCUAUUCGGUAUUAUGACGCGCAUAUACGUGAGCAGCGCUAUGCGAUUGUAUGAUAUAUGGUUUUUCUUUUCAUGCAAAUGGACCAGCCUUCGUGUAUACGGAAUGCUCGAAGCAAUCUUUUGUUCUUCUUUUUCUUUUUUCUUUUUUUUUUUAUUAUUGAUAUAAAUAUGCUUAGGUUAAGUUGAAGAUCACGUAUCAUAAUCAAAUUAUGAAAAAAUAUACGAGUGAAUAUAUUUAAAGAUUCUUGGAUAAAUAUUUUAAUCUAUGA